rnacentral:rRNA from 1 species
GACGAACGCUGGCGGCGUGCUUAACACAUGCAAGUCGAACGGAAAGGCUCCAGCUUGCUGGAGUACUCGAGUGGCGAACGGGUGAGUAACACGUGGGUAAUCUGCCCUGCACUCUGGGAUAAGCCUGGGAAACUGGGUCUAAUACUGGAUAUGACCUUUCUCCUGAUGGGGUUUGGUGGAAAGUUUUUCGGUGUAGGAUGAGCCCGCGGCCUAUCAGCUUGUUGGUGGGGUGAUGGCCUACCAAGGCGACGACGGGUAGCCGGCCUGAGAGGGUGAUCGGCCACAUUGGGACUGAGAGACGGCGCAGACUCCUACGGGAGGCAGCAGUGGGGAAUAUGGCACAAUGGGCGGAAGCCUGAGGCAGCGACGCCGCGUGAGGGAUGACGGCCUUCGGGUUGUAAACCGCUUUCAGCAGGGACGAAGCGUAAGUGACGGUACCUGCAGAAGAAGCACCGGCUAACUACGUG